GCGCGCAUAGUUCAAUGGUAGAACGCUAUCCUGAUAAGAUAGAGGCUCUUGGUUCGAUUCCAAGUGCGCGCACGA
rnacentral:tRNA from 1 species